UACAGAGGUCUCAAGCGUUGUUCGGAUUCAAUUGGGCGUAAAGGGUGCGUAGGUGGCGCCAUAAGUCAGGUGUGAAAUCUCGGGGCUCAACCUCGAAACUGCACUUGAUACUGUGGUGCUUGGAGUACUGGAGAGGAGAUUGGAAUUUACGGUGUAGCAGUGAAAUGCGUAGAUAUCGUAAGGAAGACCAGUGGCGAAGGCAAUCCCUGGGCCUGCACUGACGCUCAUGCACGAAAGCGUGGGGAGCAAACAGG
rnacentral:rRNA from 1 species